UUCGACCCGAAGGUAAGGAAUAACGUCGAAGAAGUCGGCGCUAAUACCUCAUAAUGCAGCGGAUCCGCAUGGAUAUGUUGUUAAAGGUUUACCGCCUUGGGAUAGGCUUGCGUCUGAUUAGCUAGUUGGUGUGGUAAUGGCACACCAAGGCUACGAUCAGUAACUGGUCUGAGAGGAUGAUCAGUCACACUGGAACUGAGACACGGUCCAGACUCCUACGGGAGGCAGCAGUGAGGAAUAUUGGGCAAUGCACGAAAGUGUGACCCAGCAACGCCGCGUGGAGGAUGAAGGUAUUCUAUAUCGUAAACUCCUGUGAGAGCAGACGAAAGACAGAUUAUUAAUUUGGAUGACUGUAUGCUCAGAGGAAGCCCCGGCUAACUACGUG
rnacentral:rRNA from 1 species